AUAAACGAGAAAUAGAGGCGGAAUAGGAGAAGGAGCUAAGAUGUUUGUCGGGUUCCUGAAGAUGCGUCGACGUGUUAUCAUCCACGCAAGCUUCCCCAACCCAGCCAGUGUACCACAGGACGGGAGGAGGAAGCCAGCGGCUGCAUGCACCAUUGAACAGGACGGCAUUGUAUUCCUCCCACAGGAGUGACUACAGCGAAGCAAGCCCAGAAUAAAGUGUUGAGUGACCGUGAUGAUUCAGUACUACUAACACCAAACAAGUGAGGGAAGUGUUCGGAGUGAACGUGCAAGACAUACAACAGACACCAGACUGCUGCCGCUGCUGCUACUGCCGGUGUAGCCAAAGGAACAAAAGGUCCGGAGCAAGAGGAAGAAAUGGGUGAUUCUUGGAAACGCACCAAUGAAGUUGUGAAGAUGUCUCCGGUGUGUCGCCUAGUGCGUUCCCUUGUCCUGCUCGAGAGAGAGAGAGAGAGAGAGAGAGAGAGCGAUUCGGAUCACCACCGCGUCGAGCUGCCUGCCCACCUCCCUCCAUUGUCCUUCCCCUCUCACUUGAGUAUUGUGAACGUUGUAUUUAUUUUCAUCACGCCUCUGUGUUUGUAAAGGGAGAGUGUUCCAAUAAGUGAGCUCUGUUUGCAGUCACAUGUGUAUUUCAAAGGUGUUUUGCCAAGUGCUGUGCUGAGGUGUUGUGGUGUAUCUGUCUGUACGGUGUUCGAGCUAGCUUUCGCCCACGUUUGUGACGCUACCUUCCGUACUGCAUUUAAUGUCUGUGGA